rnacentral:rRNA from 1 species
AUUGAACGCUGGCGGCAUGCCUUACACAUGCAAGUCGAACGGCAGCACGGGUGCUUGCACCUGGUGGCGAGUGGCGAACGGGUGAGUAAUACAUCGGAACAUGUCCUGUAGUGGGGGAUAGCCCGGCGAAAGCCGGAUUAAUACCGCAUACGAUCUACGGAUGAAAGCGGGGGACGUUCGGGCCUCGCGCUAUAGGGUUGGCCGAUGGCUGAUUAGCUAGUUGGUGGGGUAAAGGCCUACCAAGGCGACGAUCAGUAGCUGGUCUGAGAGGACGACCAGCCACACUGGGACUUAGACACGGACCAGACUCCUACGGGAGGCAGCAGUGGGGAAUUUUGGACAAUGGGCGAAAGCCUGAUCCAGCAAUGCCGCGUGUGUGACGAAGGCCUUCGGUUUGUAAAGCACUUUUGUCCGGAAAGAAAUCCUUGGCCCUAAUACGGUCGGGGGAUGACGGUACCGGAAGAAUAAGCACCGGCUAACUACGUG